GAUGAACGCUGGCGGCGUGCCUAAUACAUGCAAGUCGAGCGAAUGGAUUAAGAGCUUGCUCUUAUGAAGUUAGCGGCGGACGGGUGAGUAACACGUGGGUAACCUGCCCAUAGACUGGGAUAACUCCGGGAAACCGGGGCUAAUACCGGAUAACAUUUUGAACCGCAUGGGUCGAAAUUGAAAGGCGGCUUCGGCUGUCACUUAUGGAUGGACCCGCGUCGCAUUAGCUAGUUGGUGAGGUAACGGCUCACCAAGGCAACGAUGCGUAACCGACCUGAGAGGGUGAGCGGCCACACGGGGAGUGAGACACGGCCCAGACUCCUACGGGAGGCAGCAGUAGGGAAUCUUCCGCAAUGGACGAAAGUCUGACGGAGCAACGCCGCGUGAGUGAUGAAGGCUUUCGGGUCGUAAAACUCUGUUGUUAGGGAAGAACAAGUGCUAGUUGAAUAAGCUGGCGCCUUGACGGUACCUAACCAGAAAGCCACGGCUAACUACGUGCCAGCCGCCGCAGUAA
rnacentral:rRNA from 1 species